GAGUUUGAUCAUGGCUCAGAUUGAACGCUGGCGGCAGGCCUAACACAUGCAAGUCGAGCGGCAGCACGGGUACUUGUACCUGGUGGCGAGCGGCGGACGGGUGAGUAAUGCCUAGGAAUCUGCCUGGUAGUGGGGGAUAACGCUCGGAAACGGACGCUAAUACCGCAUACGUCCUACGGGAGAAAGCAGGGGACCUUCGGGCCUUGCGCUAUCAGAUGAGCCUAGGUCGGAUUAGCUAGUUGGUGAGGUAAUGGCUCACCAAGGCGACGAUCCGUAACUGGUCUGAGAGGAUGAUCAGUCACACUGGAACUGAGACACGGUCCAGACUCCUACGGGAGGCAGCAGUGGGGAAUAUUGGACAAUGGGCGAAAGCCUGAUCCAGCCAUGCCGCGUGUGUGAAGAAGGUCUUCGGAUUGUAAAGCACUUUAAGUUGGGAGGAAGGGCAGUUACCUAAUACGUAUCUGUUUUGACGUUACCGACAGAAUAAGCACCGGCUAACUCUGUGCCAGCAGCCGCGGUAAUACAGAGGGUGCAAGCGUUAAUCGGAAUUACUGGGCGUAAAGCGCGCGUA
rnacentral:rRNA from 1 species